GCAGACUCACUCUGUCCCAGGCUGCUCAAUCCUGCCUGGUGCUUUUUCAGUCUGCUAGAUUAAAAUUCAAAAUAUCACAAAUACAAGCCUUUUCUAAGGCAAGUGUCUGUGUAUUUUGAAACACUUAA
rnacentral:snoRNA from 1 species